rnacentral:rRNA from 1 species
AUUGAACGCUGGCGGCAGGCCUAACACAUGCAAGUCGAACGAGCGGCGGACGGGUGAGUAAUGUCUGGGAAACUGCCCGAUGGAGGGGGAUAACUACUGGAAACGGUAGCUAAUACCGCAUACCAUCAGAUGUGCCCAUAUGGGAUUAGCUAGUAGGUGGGGUAACGGCUCACCUAGGCGACGAUCCCUAGCUGGUCUGAGAGGAUGACCAGCCAAACGGGAACUGAGACACGGUCCAGACUCCUACGGGAGGCAGCGGUGGGGAAUAUUGCACAAUGGGCGCAAGCCUGAUGCAGCCAUGCAGCGUGGGUGAAGAAGGCCUUCGGGUUGUAAAGCACUUUCAGCGGGGAGGCGUUACCCGCAGAAGAAGCACCGGCUAACUCCGUGCCAGCAGCCGCGGUAAUAC